rnacentral:rRNA from 1 species
UAGAGUUUGAUCAUGGCUCAGAAGUCGUAACAAGGUAGCCGUAAGUCGUAACAAGGUAGCCGUAAGUCGUAACAAGGUAGCCGUAAGUCGUAACAAGGUAGCCGUAGAGUUUGAUAAUGGCUCAGCCUUUGACUUAAAAAAAUGGAGAAGUCGUAACAAGAUAACCGUAGAGUUUGAUUAUGGCUCAGCAAAGUCGUAACAAGGUAGCCGUAAGUCGUAACAGGGUAACCAUAGAGUUUGAUCCUGGCUCAGGAAAGUCGUAACAAGGUAACUGUAAGUCGUAACAAGGUA